UACAGAGGAGCCAAGCGUUGUCCGGAUUGACUGGGCGUAAAGCGCACGCAGGCGGCUGCGCGCGUGGGGUGUGAAAUCUGGCCGCUUAACGGCCAGGCGCCAUCCCAUACGGCGCGGCUUGAGCCUUGCAGAGGGCGGUGGAAUUGCCGGUGUAGUGGUGAAAUGCGUAGAGAUCGGCAGGAACACCCAGGGGGAAACCAGCCGCCUGGGCAAGCGCUGACGCUGAGGUGCGAGAGCGCGGGGAGCGAACCGG
rnacentral:rRNA from 1 species